GCCCUGCCCGCGGACAGGUGCGCCGGAGCGGCACUUCUCCUCUGGGUGGGGCUCUGGUGCCCGGAGCCGCACGCUGGUCCUUCCGGCCCGACUGCGCGACCUGUGACUGGUUCUGUUGGACCUGCGGGCCGCGGAGGGCUGUGUGCUCGGGCAGAAAGGGCCACGGGAGGAAACGGUGCCAAGAAGAUGACACGCGUGACACCAAAGACUUGUAGAAAUUUUUCCCUUGGUGGGCUGCGUGCUUCUUGCACAGACUCAGCCCCGGAGCCUAUGUUCCUCCCCGUCCGCGCGUCUGGGUCCGCAGCGCACACACUGUACCCGCGCACUCCGCACCCAGGCAGAGGAACCCCAGGAGAGGCUGGAAGGCUGGCUUCAGCAGGGAUGCUCUUUAAUAGGUGACGUUGAUUAAGGCCUUGAUGACAGGCUCUUUGUGGGACCUACGGAAGGGGCCUCCGACUUCCACCCACACCUUCUACGGCUGGUAUUUAUGAUGCUAUUAAUUAUGCUCCACACGCAGCCGAUACUAGAACUCGAGAGCUAAGCACGAUGGAAAGGGUCCUUGACCUUAAGGUUUACAACCUGAACCACUCAUCCUGAUUUUCCUCUGGACUUGAGGGGCAGAAAGAAAAAGAUCAUCUGUGGUUUUAAUCCUCAUGGCUUCCUCUGGUCAGCUGAUUCAAGAGAUGAUUCCAGCACCUGCCAUCUGCAGGGUCAGCUGGGGCAUCCCGCAUGUGUGUUUGUGUACAAGUGUGCCUGAAGAGCCAGCUUUGCCUCUGUGUUGAUCUCUCACCAAGGAAUGGAGAAGGUUUUUUCUCAUUCAUUUCAGUGAACCUAACCUCACUUACUUUUUUCCUCUUAAAUUAAAAAUUUAAAGUGUGAUGUUGACCUUUUGUAUUAGGUAGGUUCCAAUAAUUGAGCGCAUAGAAGUCUUGAUAGUGGGUAGUUGGGUGAUCUGAUAGAAGAAAGGUGAUUAAAAACAUACCCUGUAGCCUGUUGUGAGGGGGCACAUGCCGAUAAUCCCAGUUACUAGGAAGGCUGAGGCAGAAAGAUCACAAGUUCGAGUCCAGCCUGAGAAACUUAAUAGGAUCCCCUCUCAG
ensembl:lncRNA